rnacentral:lncRNA from 1 species
AUAAGCUCAUAUAUUGACUAUACAAAUUUCUUUACAUUUACAAAAUAGCCAAAAUACAUUAAAUUCUCUACUCGUUUCCCCACCCACUGGUCCAGCCUAUUCUCCAACAACAUCUUCUGGGCAUACUUAAGUUACAUCAUCUGCAUCUAAAAAAACAGAGGAAACAAGGGUGAGUAUGACAAGUCAUACUCAGCAAGCAGAUACUUCAUUAUUCAACAAAAAAAGUAAGAAUAUGAAUACAGUCACAACGGGUUAACUGCAUUUAAAGCAGGCUAAAUAACGUGACAAUUGAUGGAGCCAGUUUCAUCGAAGGAACAACAUAGCUGGAUGUAAUGUAAACAAGAAGGAAUCUAUUGGCAUCACACAUGAUCGCAAGCUUCCCAACCUGGGAGUCAUAUGGGUGAAAUUUCACACUUUUACACUCUUAAGGAGGGUACUCCGACGUCGACAGCCUCGACCAGAACCACACAGGUUCCAGAAGAGCAGAGCUCUUGUACACACUAAGACCCGGACACCUGGACCUACUGAUGUCGAUCGCUCCUACGGAUCCAUCACCGACACGUUCCCGAACAAGGUCCAUCCUUAGUGGAGAACUCAGACAGUCCCAUACCUGAACGGUGACCGGUACAGUACGUUUGCCAUCAUGACACCAAUAUAGAUGAAUGUGUGUCCGAAUCAAUGAUAGGACCACUGAAAUAUCAUUCAAAGACAAUACACUCAUAAUUUUUCAUAAGUUCCUCCAAAAUACUCUGAUUCCAUCAACAAAUGGAUUAUGAGGAAGACACAUCCCUCUCUCAAGGAUCAACAGAGGAUCAGCAAAGAUCAAGGUGCAAUGAUAUUACCAGAUAAUCAAGCAAGAUGACAAUAAGGAGAGAUUAGAGAGUUUAGCAAAGCAGCUACUUGCCUUAGAUAACAAGAUUUCUCCUUGGAGAUAAUAAUCUCCUAGCAAAUAAACCCAUCAAUGUAUAAUCCAAAAGCCGUACAUAUACUAUACUAAUAUUCUCCGGACACACGGCUCAGUUCUUCACUCCAGCAGCACCUAUACGCCCCAUAUAACUCCUCCAUGUCUUGUCUCUCUCUCUCACUCACACGCGCUCUCUUCUUCUCACUCUUUCUCCUAUGCUCACUGCACAUGUCUCUAUUUCUUUCUCCCGGAGGUGUGCUGUGAGGCAACAGCAGGAGCGUCCUAUUUAUAGCGUUGUUCGUCGGCCGGUAGCUAAAAUAUCUCAGACGUGCUGACCCUUGGAACUGGUAAAAGGCAACGUCGGCCGCCGCUUCAGAUAAGCAAAAUGAGUUGCUCUCAUUGUAUCUUCAUCUCACACGUGUCAAACAUACUUAGGUUGACUACCAUCUAACAGUCCACGUGUGAGGCUAGAAAUACCAAGCCACUAGCUAGGCUGCCAACGCAACAUCUAUUUAUACAGAUGUUUUACUUAGCUUGGAAGGAUACAUACACACGUGUGCAUUCUCAUGAUUACAUACAUGCACCUAGUUGACUUGGGGCUCUAGUACUAGGAGAUAUCUACCGAUCUAUCAUUUGUACCUGGUCCAAUUCCAUCUAUUCAAUUGCCACGUUAACUCUCUUAUAAAGCUUAUACUGCCAACUAGCUAGUAGUACCUCCCAUGCAUACCUCAACGUGAGUGCAUGCAUGCAAGUCUAUGUGUACAUACACAUACUCUUACAUAGUAUGUAAUUUUCUAAUAUAAUAUUUAAUGCAUGCAAAAUUUACAGCUCUAUUUUAAUUCUUUGAAACAAGAAUCUAGCAUAACUUAACAGAUAAUAGAAAUUUAUUUACUCAUCUUAAUUUAAAUCAAUAACCCAAAAAUAUGGGUUAUUACAUCCUUCCCACCUUAUAAGAAUUUCGUCCUCGAAAUUCAACACUAACAUCUUCUGGUUUUUUUGGGAGUCAAAUUCCCUCCAAUCAUAUUUGGGACAGUUUAUUUGAUGCAUGGUCAAUAAUUAAUUAGAAAUAAUGCAAACAAUAUUUGCAAUCUUUCUACAAUUCAUGGAUGUAUCUGCUAUAAUAUAAGUUGGCAAGACUAAACAUUUUAUUUGGUAAGGUCAUUAACAAAAAGGAUAGAUGGUGGUAUAGAAAUUGUCCCAUUACUAGAUAAAUAUCACCAGUUGUCUUAAACAAGAAAAAUCUACACAAAUAACAGGUCAAGAGUUAACAAAAUGUCUAUUUAUUUCCCAUGCACCCCCAAAUUUCACCAAAAAUAUGUAUGCUAUAUUUUUAUUUUCCUGGAUAUCUAUCGAAAAUAUUCGUGCGUAACAACACACAAACUACUUGAGACAAGAUAUGAAAAUAAAAUCUUCAUACCUGUCACACAACACAAAUAUACAGUGACAAAAUUCAUUGCCAUGAAUCAUUUUAGUUUAUACGGUUCCUCACGAGUAUAAUAAUGGUGUAAGAACUUCUUUUUUUUCUACCAAUUGAUAAAAGAAUUAUUUCUCUAACAAUAAUUAGCCACAAAUGUAAUCGACGAUCUACUCGUUUAUCCCAGCGCAACCUAAACACCUAGAGUUCUGAUACCACUUUAACUGUCACGCCCCGAGACCGGACCUAGGCGAGACAGGCGCCGCGAGCCUAUAGACCAGAGGCCUAUAGUCACGCAAGGCGUGAUAAAGCAGGCAUAAACCAGCAGUGGAUCACAUAAGCUCAUAUAUUGACUAUACAAAUUUCUUUAUAUUUACAAAAUAGCCAAAAUACAUUAAAUUCUCUACUCGUUUCCCCACCCACUGGUCCAGCCUAUUCUCCGACGACAUCUUCUGGGUAUACUUAAGUUACAUCAUCUGCAUCUAAAAAAACAGAGGAAACAAGGGUGAGUAUGACAAGUCAUACUCAGCAAGCAGAUACUUUAUUAUUCAACAAAAAAAGUAAGAAUAUGAAUACAGUCACAAUAGGUUAACUGCAUUUAAUGCAGGCUAAAUAACGUGACAAUUGAUGGAGCCAGUUUCAUUGAAGGAACAACAUAGCUGGAUGUAAUGGAAACAAGAAGGAAUCUAUUGCCGUCACACAUGAUCGCAAGCUUCUCAAUCCGGGAGUCACAGGGAUGAAAUUUCACACUUUUACACUCUUAGGAGGGGUACUCCGACGUCGACAGCCUCGACCAGAACCACACAGGUUUCAGAAGAGCAGAGCUCUUGUACCCAAGACCCGGACACCUGGACCUACGGAUGUCGAUCGCUCCUACGGAUCCAUCAUCGACACGUUCCCGAACAAGGUCCAUCCUUAGUGGAGAACUCAGACAGUCUCAUACCUGAACUGUGACCGGUACAAUACGUUUGCCAUUGUGACACCAAUAUAUAUGGAUGUGUGUCUGAAUCAACGAUAGGACCACUGAAAUAUCAUUCAAAGACAAUACACUCAUAACUUUUCAUGAGUUCCUCCAAAAUACUCUGAUUCCAUCAACAAAUGGAUUAUGAGGAAGACACAUCCCUCUCUCAAGGAUCAGCAGAGGAUCAGCAAAGAUCAAGGUGCAAUGAUAUUACCAGAUAAUCAAGCAAGACGACAAUAAGGAGAGAUUAGAGAGUUUAGCAAAGCAGCUACUUGCCUUAGAUAACAAGAUUUCUCCUUGGAGAUAAUAUUCUCCUAGCAAAUAAACCCAUCAAUGUAUAAUCCAAAAGCCGUACAUAUACUGUACUAAUAUUCUCCGGACACACGGCUCAGUUCUUCACUCCAGCAGCACCUAUACGCCCCAUAUAACUCCUCCAUGUCUUGUCUCUCUCUCACUCACACGCUCUCUUCUUCUCACUCUUUCUGUUUCUCCUAUGCUCACUGCACAUGUCUCUGUUUGUUUCUCCCGGAGGUGUGCUGUGAGGCAACAGCAGGAGCGUCCUAUUUAUAGCGUUGUUC